AUUGAACGCUGGCGGCAGGCCUAACACAUGCAAGUCGAGCGGAUGACAGGAGCUUGCUCCUGAAUUCAGCGGCGGACGGGUGAGUAAUGCCUAGGAAUCUGCCUGGUAGUGGGGGACAACGUUUCGAAAGGAACGCUAAUACCGCAUACGUCCUACGGGAGAAAGCAGGGGACCUUCGGGCCUUGCGCUAUCAGAUGAGCCUAGGUCGGAUUAGCUAGUUGGUGAGGUAAUGGCUCACCAAGGCGACGAUCCGUAACUGGUCUGAGAGGAUGAUCAGUCACACUGGAACUGAGACACGGUCCAGACUCCUACGGGAGGCAGCAGUGGGGAAUAUUGGACAAUGGGCGAAAGCCUGAUCCAGCCAUGCCGCGUGUGUGAAGAAGGUCUUCGGAUUGUAAAGCACUUUAAGUUGGGAGGAAGGGCAKUAAMYUAAUACKUURSUGUUUUGACGUUACCGACAGAAUAAGCACCGGCUAACUCUGUGC
rnacentral:rRNA from 1 species